AUGCCAACCUUCUCAGUCAUGUACAAAGGAGCUGUCAUCAUUAGCAGGACACUAAUGGGUCCGUACGGAGUAGACAGAGCUGUUCAUUCCAUGGAGUUUACCGAUUGUGAGAACGGCCUGGGCAUCAAAGUGAUUGGUGGAGUGAAGGAGCAAACUGGAGAAGAGUUUGGAGUCUAUGUCAAACGGAUUUUACCAGGUGGCCUUGCAUCAAGUGACGGAAACCUGUUGCCGGGGGACCAGAUCCUGGAGGUGAACGGGGACAGCCUAGUGGGAGUCACGAGUGAAAGAGCUGUGGACAUCCUGAGAGGAGCCUCGGCAACUAAUCUCAUGCGACUUCUCAUAGCCAGAGACGAGGAAGCAAAGAGAGAAUUUGCUGAGUUGCUGGAGAAGUAUGGAUCUAAUAGUAGCACAGGAUCAACACGCAACUCUCCCAUACAGCAAGAUUCCAAAGGAGGCCGCUACCUGGAGAGUACAUCAUCUGGUUCCUCAUCGCGCUCCCAGAGUCCUUUGUUGUUGAGUCCAGCAGGCUCUCAGAACAUGUACAACAACAGUGGGCCAAUGCUGCGCUCCCUCAGGUACGAUUCCUUUGUACAGAAUUUACAUCAACUACGACACGGUUCUCCUGUUGUAAAGCCUCCAAGUUCAAAAGAUGUGGCUAGCAAAUACUAACAAUUAAACCCAGAUUUCCAACCUAUUGUGUAGAUGUGUUUUCAUGUGUGUUUUUACUAGUGCACGCAUGUGGGCAGUCGAAGAUCACACAAACACUGUUUUAAGGAGCCUGCAUGAGACUGACAUGAAAAAAUUAGCUUUUUUUUGUACUGUUCCAUAUUUUAUUCUUUCAAUCUGUUAGUAAAAGUACUACACCAUAUUGGGAAAAACUCCUGGGUUUCAAUGGGCUUGACUUUACAUUACAUUACAUUACA
ensembl:lncRNA